rnacentral:rRNA from 1 species
GACGAACGCUGGCGGCGUGCUUAACACAUGCAAGUCGAACGGACUACUUUGCUUCGGUAAGGUGGUUAGUGGCGAACGGGUGAGUAACGCGUAGACAACCUACCUCUUAGAUGGGGACAACAUCGCGAAAGCGGUGCUAAUACCGAAUGAAGUGACUUUCCUGCAUGGGAGAGAUACUAAAGGUGGCCUCUAUUUAUAAGCUACCACUGAGAGAUGGGUCUGCGUCUGAUUAGCUAGUUGGCGGGGUAACGGCCCACCAAGGCGACGAUCAGUAGCCGGGCUGAGAGGAUGAACGGCCACAUUGGGACUGAGACACGGGCCAAACUCCUACGGGAGGCAGCAGUGGGGAAUCUUCCGCAAUGGACGAAAGUCUGACGGAGCAACGCCGCGUGAGUGAAGAAGGUUUUCGGAUCGUAAAGCUCUGUUGUUUGAGACGAAUGUGCCUGUUUCGAAUAGGGAUAGGUAAUGACGGUAUUAAACGAGAAAGCCACGGCUAACUACGUGCCAGCCGCCGCGGUAA